rnacentral:rRNA from 1 species
UACGUAGGGUGCGAGCGUUGUCCGGAAUUAUUGGGCGUAAAGAGCUCGUAGGCGGUGUGUCACGUCGGCCGUGAAAACCUGCAGCUUAACUGUGGGCGUGCGGUCGAUACGGGCAUCACUGGAGUUCGGCAGGGGAGACUGGAAUUCCUGGUGUAGCGGUGAAAUGCGCAGAUAUCAGGAGGAACACCGGUGGCGAAGGCGGGUCUCCGGGCCGAUACUGACGCUGAGGAGCGAAAGCGUGGGGAGCGAACAGG